rnacentral:rRNA from 1 species
GAUGAACGCUGGCGGCGUGCCUAAUACAUGCAAGUCGAGCGAACAGACGAGGAGCUUGCUCCUUUGACGUUAGCGGCGGACGGGUGAGUAACACGUGGGUAACCUACCUAUAAGACUGGGAUAACUUCGGGAAACCGGAGCUAAUACCGGAUAAUAUUUCGAACCGCAUGGUUCGAUAGUGAAAGAUGGCUUUGCUAUCACUUAUAGAUGGACCUGCGCCGUAUUAGCUAGUUGGUAAGGUAACGGCUUACCAAGGCAACGAUACGUAGCCGACCUGAGAGGGUGAUCGGCCACACUGGAACUGAGACACGGUCCAGACUCCUACGGGAGGCAGCAGUAGGGAAUCUUCCGCAAUGGGCGAAAGCCUGACGGAGCGACGCCGCGUGAGUGAUGAAGGUCUUCGGAUCGUAAAACUCUGUUAUUAGGGAAGAACAAACGUGUAAGUAACUGUGCACGUCUUGACGGUACCUAAUCAGAAAGCCACGGCUAACUACGUGCCAGCAGCCGCGGUAAUACGUAGGUGGCAAGCGUUAUCCGGAAUUAUUGGGCGUAAAGCGCGCGUAGGCGGUUUUUUAAGUCUGAUGUGAAAGCCCACGGCUCAACCGUGGAGGGUCAUUGGAAACUGGAAAACUUGAGUGCAGAAGAGGAAAGUGGAAUUCCAUGUGUAGCGGUGAAAUGCGCAGAGAUAUGGAGGAACACCAGUGGCGAAGGCGACUUUCUGGUCUGUAACGGACGCUGAUGUGCGAAAGCGUGGGGAUCAAACAGGAUUAGAUACCCUGGUAGUCCACGCCGUAAACGAUGAGUGCUAAGUGUUAGGGGGUUUCCGCCCCUUAGUGCUGCAGCUAACGCAUUAAGCACUCCGCCUGGGGAGUACGACCGCAAGGUUGAAACUCAAAGGAAUUGACGGGGACCCGCACAAGCGGUGGAGCAUGUGGUUUAAUUCGAAGCAACGCGAAGAACCUUACCAAAUCUUGACAUCCUUUGCUCCUUCUAGAGAUAGAAGUUUCCCCUUCGGGGGACAAAGUGACAGGUGGUGCAUGGUUGUCGUCAGCUCGUGUCGUGAGAUGUUGGGUUAAGUCCCGCAACGAGCGCAACCCUUAAGCUUAGUUACCGUCAUUAAGUUGGGCACUCUAAGUUGACUGCCGGUGACAAACCGGAGGAAGGUGGGGAUGACGUCAAAUCAUCAUGCCCCUUAUGAUUUGGGCUACACACGUGCUACAAUGGACAAUACAAAGGGCAGCGAAACCGCGAGGUCAAGCAAAUCCCAUAAAGUUGUUCUCAGUUCGGAUUGUAGUCUGCAACUCGACUACAUGAAGCUGGAAUCGCUAGUAAUCGUAGAUCAGCAUGCUACGGUGAAUACGUUCCCGGGUCUUGUACACACCGCCCGUCACACCACGAGAGUUUGUAACACCCGAAGCCGGUGGAGUAACCAUUUGGAGCUAGCCGUCGAAGGUGGGACAAAUGAUUGGGGUGAAGUCGUAACAAGGUAGCCGUAUCGGAAGG